CUGCACAUAAAAAUAAAAUAAAUUUAUACAUACUAUAAUAUAGAAAACUAGAGUAUGCAAUUUAAAUUACAAUGACACGUGAGCCCCCAAAUAACUGAGAAGGUUUAAGUCUAUAACCUUGCUUUCUAGGAUGCAACUCCGAAAUUUACUUCUCGAUGCAAUUGACAGUCUAUUGCCUAUUCUGAGCCUGAAAAAUGUAUAGGAAGAAGGGGUGAGAUUAUAAAAUCCCAGUGAGUAGAC
rnacentral:lncRNA from 1 species